rnacentral:rRNA from 1 species
AUUGAAUGCUGGCGGCAGGCCUAACACAUGCAAUUCGAACGAGUGGCGGACGGGUGAGUAAUGUCUGGGAAACUGCCCGAUGGAGGGGGAUAACUACUUGAAACGGUAGCUAAUACCGCAUACCAUCGGAUGUGCCCAGAUGGGAUUAGCUCGUAGGUGUGGUAACGGCUCACCUAGGCGACGAUCCCUAGCUGGGCUGAGAGGAUGACCAGCGACACUGGAAAUGAGACACGGUCCAGACGCCGACGGGAGGCAGCAGUGGGGAAUAUUGCACAAUGGGCGCAAGCCUGAUGCAGACAUGCCGCGUGUAUGAAGAAGGCCUUCGGGUUGUAAAGUACUUUCAGCGAGGAGGCGUUACUAGCAGAAGAAGCACCGGCUAACUCCGUGCCAGCAGCCGCGGUAAUUC